CAGAGACUCUGCCCUUUGGGUAGACCUCCCACCCUGUGUCGUUAUACCUCUGUUGCUUUGGCGGGCCGCAGGGCCCCGUCCCUGCCCCUGGCUCCGGCUAGGGCGCGCCCGCCAGAGGACCUCAAAACCUGAAUGUUAGUGUCGUCUGAGUACUAUAUAAUAGUUA
rnacentral:misc_RNA from 1 species